rnacentral:misc_RNA from 1 species
UCUCCGUUGGUGAACCAGCGGAGGGAUCAUUACCGAGUUUACAACUCCCAAACCCCUGUGAACAUACCUCUAUGUUGCCUCGGCGGAUCAGCCCGCGCCCCGGGCGGCCCGCCGGCGGACAAACCAAACUCUGUUAUCUUCGUUGAUUAUCUGAGUGUCUUAUUUAAUAAGUCAAAACUUUCAACAACGGAUCUCUUGGUUCUGGCAUCGAUGAAGAACGCAGC